rnacentral:lncRNA from 1 species
UGGACGUCCUAUACCGCCCGCUUUGGUUUGAUCCAUCUCUCCGACUUGGUGAUAACCCGCUCAAGCGCUUAGGCUUUACGUAAGUGGAGGACGAGUGAAGAACGUAGACGUCCUAUACCGCUUGGGUUUGAUCCAUCUCUCCGACUUGGUGAUAACCCCUUCAAGCGCUUAGGCUUUACGUAAGUGGAGGACAAGUGAAGAACGUAGACGUCCUAUACCGCUUGGGUUUGAUCCAUCUCUUCGACUUGGUGAUAACCCGCUCAAGCGCUUAGGUUUUACGUAAGUGGAGGACGAGUGAAGAACGAAGACGUCCUAUACCGCGGCUUUACGUAAGUGGAGGACGAGUGAAGAACGUAGACGUCCUAUACCGCUUGGGUUUGAUCCAUCUCUCCGACUUGGUGAUAACCCGUUCAAGCGCUUAGGCUUUACGUAAGUGGAGGACAAGUGAAGAACGUAGACGUCCUAUACCGCUUGGGUUUGAUCCAUCUCUUCGACUUGGUGAUAACCCGCUCAAGCGCUUAGGUUUUACGUAAGUGGAGGACGAGUGAAGAACGAAGACGUCCUAUACCGCUUGGGUUUGAUCCAUCUCUCCGACUUGGUGAUAACCCGCUCAAGUGCUUAGGCUUUACGUAAGUGGAGGACGAGUGAAGAACAUAGACGUCCUAUACCGCUUGCGUUUGAUCCAUCUCUCGUUUUGGUGAUAACUGGCUCAAACACUUAGGCUUUACGUAGGGGAAGACAAGUGAAGAUUGUUUCUCGAGACAUUCCACCUUUACCCAGCUUUUCAAACUUGUACAAGUAAGCACUUCAAGUGUGAAGUCACCAGCCUGAUACUGAAUAUUGUUUCAUGUCGCUCAUCUUAUACAGAUGGCCUUCUUCAAGUGUUUCAAGAAAGGCACGGUUACUAUUCUUGAGGAUAAAAGUGAUAGCCGGGACGAAGGUACCAC